rnacentral:lncRNA from 1 species
CAUGUCAGGACAUUAUUAUAGCACGGCUUUACAUACACACGGGGGCGGGGUAUCUCUCACCUAAACACAAGUGCUGUGGUUUAGGUAAGCAUUCCUUAAAGGUCUAUGUGUGAAAGACAUGGACCUCAGGUGUGGUGCUAUCGGGAGGUGGUGAGGGAACCUUUAAGAGGCGGAGCCUCGUGGGAGGAAGUGACAUCAUGGGGCAGGGCCUUGGAGGGGAUACUGGGAAUCCAGCCCCUUUAAGGGACUGUUCUCUUCCUGUUUAUCUUUUACUUCUUGAUUGCUCUCAGGAGAGCAACCUUGCCCACCACAUAUUCCGGUCGCAAUGCACUGUGCUGUCACAAGCCCAGAGCAACAGACCUAGCAAUCAUGGACUGAAAUCUUGGAAAAUGGAAGAUUACUUCCAUUACCUCCUUAUAAGUUGAUUAUCUCAAGUCCAAGAGUGAAGGAAAUAGGUAACUGCAUUCUCUCUGGUUUUGACUCCGGCCGUCUGAGGGUCCAUGACCAGCAGGAAGUCUCCUUGUGCAAACAGAGGACGCGAGACGAGGGUGUUGGUGACAGUACUGUAGCCCUUGAGGACGGGGCCACCCUGUGCAGCUCACCGUGGAUGUGAGCAGCGACCACACUGUUCUGCAGCUCCAGGAAGCAUUCGCUGGCUGUGAAUGACGCAAACUGCUCUGUGGGAGACGGAUGGUUCUCGCGCACCCGGAACUGGACCUGUGCCCGCUGCACGGCCGUGGCGAUGUCGGAAACCGGGCGGAAAUACCGGCCUCCGCAGGGCGCCAGGCACAGAUGUCAGGAGAAUGCCUAAUUAUAAUGAAGGAGAAGAAUGGAAACUGAGUCAGAUAUUGGAGCAAAUGAAAAGAAGUCGCUACACAGAGCUCUACUAUAACAUAAGUCAAAGAUAAAGGUAUGUGGAAGUUAUUUUGUGUCCCAUAAUAAUCACCUUGUGAAGUAUUUUUCAGUCUAAAGACGGUCUGGUCCAACAACAG